CGUGAUAAGCGCAUGGAACAGGGACAGAUAUCCUGAAGAUCAAACUACAAAAAUACAAGACCAUGCAUGUAUUUGAAUGACAAAAGAGGAAGUUAUUCAUUAACACAAUUCAACCAAAGUAACACGACGCCAAUUAUAGACGUUGAUGAUGCCAAUAUUAAAAAUAUCAAGGCAUUACUACGUGUGUACCGCUCUAGAAAGCGAAAGGUACCAACCCAUCAAACAAAAUAGAGUACGCCGAAGUACCAGUUAAACGCACAAAACAAUGACAUAUACGUGCAGUAUAAGUGUAAUGAGCAACAUAAGGGGUAAAGCCGGUUCGAUACUAUUACAAUGUGGAUGAGAGAAAAAACCUACCAUUAUCAGGCUGCAGGAUAAACGGGGUCCACAGGGAUUUACGCAUGGGCAAGACAGAAUGAAAACACACCGCUAAAAACCAUAUUUUUGCAAAUAUAUAAAGUUAUUGAAAUAAUUUAGCAAAAAUGUUUAGUGCAUGAAAAACAGUUUGUCUUGCAGUUUGUGCCGAUAUCAUAAGAGUUAAGAAUACAUUUAUUGAAUACGUCUGAAAUCGGUGCCAACAUUUCACUUUGCGUGCAGCAUAACCGUGUAUAACUGCCAGUACACGUCUAUUUUUUGGCCAAUAAAUCUUAUUUAAACACAUUGCCAUUAGCCGCAUAAAAACUGUUGUUUUUUUAUGAACUAGUUGUAGUUAUUCAGAAAAAUUGUUUUAUACAAAUAUGUUAAGAGCACCACUUAUCGGUGUGUUUACAUCCAUUUACCCCAUACAGUUACGUGAUCCUUCACCCUGAUUAUUGCGAUUCGGAAUACAUGAAGCGAUUUGGAAUACCCGACAUGAGCUUAGAUAGAGAAUACAUGGUUGGUGCCGAGAUGGAGAAAGUUUUUCCGGUGAGGCUUAGAAAAAGAAAAAAGGGCGAGCUUUAGAAUGUAGUGUUACUUUGUUCGAUUUAAUGAUAUUUCAUUGAAAAAAGGUGCAUAGUGGUUUAUUUAAAUAUAUAUGUAUAUAACACCAUGUAAGAAACUAGCAUCAUGACAUAUACGGAAUGAAAACUGUAAUUAAGUAGAACUAAUAGUAAUGAUAUGUCAGACAUUUCUGUGUAAACUUAAUAUAAUAAAACUACAAACAACA